GAAGAUUGAUUUUUCUCCCUUUCAGUUCCGCCUGUGCCUGGUGGAGGUGGCUGAGCAGACUGUUGGAAGGGCGGAGGUGGAGGAACGGGAGGGCGAAUUGAAACUUGUUCUUUGGGUGGAGGGCCAGGAGGUGGAGGUGGCAAAGGAGGUGGAGGCAAUGAUGUACCCAACUCGGUCGUAGCAGGCUUUGGUGGCAUAGGAGGUGGAGGAGGUAAAGGCAAAGAUGCAGGUAUGAUGGAAUCUCCAGCAUCCGCGUCACCAAUACGAGGCGGAGGAGGAGGAGGAGGAGGAGGAGGUGGCAGUGGAAGAUCUAGAGAAACAUCCUCUGACUCUGACAUUGACGCAGCACCACUCGUC
rnacentral:lncRNA from 1 species